rnacentral:tRNA from 1 species
AGACGAGUAGCUCAGUUGGUAGAGCACCGGUCUCCAAAACCGGGUGUCGCAGGUUCAAGUCCUGUCUCGUCUGCCA